CUACGGGGUGCUGCAGUGGGGAAUCUUAGACAAUGGGCGCAAGCCUGAUCUAGCCAUGCCGCGUGAGUGAUGAAGGCCUUAGGGUCGUAAAGCUCUUUCGCUGGGGAAGAUAAUGACGGUACCCAGUAAAGAAACCCCGGCUAACUCCGUGCCAGCAGCCGCGGUAAUACGGAGGGGGUUAGCGUUGUUCGGAAUUACUGGGCGUAAAGCGCGCGUAGGCGGACUGUUAAGUCGGGGGUGAAAUCCCGGGGCUCAACCCCGGAACGGCCUUCGAUACUGGCAGUCUGGAGUUCGAGAGAGGUGAGUGGAAUUCCGAGUGUAGAGGUGAUAUUCGUAGAUAUUCGGAGGAACACCGGUGGCGAAGGCGGCUCACUGGCUCGAUACUGACGCUGAGGUGCGAAAGUGUGGGGAGCAAACAGGAUUAGAUACCCCUGUAGUC
rnacentral:rRNA from 1 species